ACAUGUCUUUUUGAAUUUUAAUUUAAGGUCUAAUCUGCUCCAUGAAUAUUAAUUUAAAUAGCUGCAGUAUAUUAACUGUACAAAGGUAGCAUAGUCAAUAGUUUUUUAAUUAAAAGCUGGAAUGAAUGAUUUAAUAAGGUAAAUAUUGUCUCAAAUUUAAAGUGAUUAUAAUUUUUAUUUUAGUAAAAAUGCUAAAAUAAAUUUAAAAGACGAGAAGACCCUAUAGAUUUUUAUAUUUUUAUUUUAAUUAAAAAUAAAAUAAAAUAUGUUUAUAUUAAUAUAAAAAUAUUUGGUUGGGGAAAUUAUUAAAUUUAAUAAAUUUUAAUAUUUAAGAACAAUAAUAAUUGAUUAAAUGAUUUUAAAUUUUAAAUUAAUAGAAUAAAUUACCUUAGGGAUAACAGCGUAAUUUUUUUGGAGAGAUCUUAUUGAUAAAAAAGUUUGCGACCUCGAUGUUGAAUUAAGAUAAAAUUUUAAUGUAGAAUUUAAAAAUUUUUAGUCUGUUCGACUAUUAAAAUCUUACGUGA
rnacentral:rRNA from 1 species